AUUGAACGCUGGCGGCAGGCUUAACACAUGCAAGUCGAGCGGGGUGAUGGUGCUUGCACUAUCACUUAGCGGCGGACGGGUGAGUAAUGCUUAGGAAUCUGCCUAUUAGUGGGGGACAACAUCUCGAAAGGGAUGCUAAUACCGCAUACGUCCUACGGGAGAAAGCAGGGGAUCACUUGUGACCUUGCGCUAAUAGAUGAGCCUAAGUCGGAUUAGCUAGUUGGUGGGGUAAGGCCUACCAAGGCGACGAUCUGUAGCGGGUCUGGGAGGAUGAUCGGCCACACUGGGACUGAGACACGGCCCAGACUCCUACGGGAGGCAGCAGUGGGGAAUAUUGGACAAUGGGGGGAACCCUGAUCCAGCCAUGCCGCGUGUGUGAAGAAGGCCUUAUGGUUGUAAAGCACUUUAAGCGAGGAGGAGGCUCUUUUGGUUAAUACCCAAGAUGAGUGGACGUUACUCGCAGAAUAAGCACCGGCUAACUCUGUGCCAGCAGCCGCCGUAA
rnacentral:rRNA from 1 species